rnacentral:rRNA from 1 species
UACGAAGGGGGCUAGCGUUGCUCGGAAUCACUGGGCGUAAAGCGCACGUAGGCGGAUCUUUAAGUCAGGGGUGAAAUCCUGGAGCUCAACUCCAGAACUGCCUUUGAUACUGGGGAUCUCGAGUCCGGGAGAGGUGAGUGGAACUCCGAGUGUAGAGGUGAAAUUCGUAGAUAUUCGGAAGAACACCAGUGGCGAAGGCGGCUCACUGGCCCGGUACUGACGCUGAGGUGCGAAAGCCAGGGGAGCGAACGGG